GUCUAGGUAGCUCAGUUGUUUAGAGCGCCUGGUAUAUAGUCAGGAGGUUGCAGGUUCAAUCCCUGUCUUGGACA
rnacentral:tRNA from 1 species